GGGGGGGGGGGGGGGGGGGGGGGGGGGGGGGGGGGGGGGGGGGGGGGGGGGGGGGGGGGGGGGGGGGGGGGGGGGGGGGGGGGGGGGGGGGCGCGGCUCCGGCGGCCCCGCCAUCCCCGGCGCGGCCGGGCGGGCCCAGCCCGGGCCGGCACAGCCCUGUGCGGCCCGGCCCGCCCCGCUCCGCCCCGCGGGCCGGCGAUGGCAGCGGGUCACGGCACAUCCCUGCCCUGCAGUGCGCUCCCCGCGCUCCCCGGGCUCGGUGCUGCUGCCUUUAGGUGUGUGGGACAGCCUGCUGCCGGAACGGCGACGGGUUCGUGGGUGCGAUGGCCAGGGCCUUCCCUUUGGGGUGUUCCCCAAGGACACAGAUUGAGCACUGUGGACACGUGUGGUUUUGUGUAUUUUUGUAUAUCUUCGCGUUUAGAAAGGCAGUUUUCCUUAUGGACUGUACAUAUGAGAGUAUUAUAUAAGGAACCUGUGAGUGCUAUACAGCUGGCAGAGUUCCAGCCAAAUAGAAGAGGAUUCAGAGAGUAACUGGAGUUCUGCUGGUUUUCUGCCUUCUGAUACUAAGUAUUUUUACCUUUGGUGCUGAACGUGCUGCUCCGGGUGUGUCUGGUCCUUCUUUCCUUACAUCCUUGGAGAGCUGUGGUCAGAACACAGCAGGACCUAAAAAAGCAGAG
rnacentral:lncRNA from 1 species